rnacentral:rRNA from 1 species
UGGGGAAUAUUGGACAAUGGGCGCAAGCCUGAUCCAGCCAUGCCGCGUGAGUGAUGAAGGCCCUAGGGUUGUAAAGCUCUUUCACCGGUGAAGAUAAUGACGGUAACCGGAGAAGAAGCCCCGGCUAACUUCGUGCCAGUAGCCGCGGUAUUACGAAGGGGGCUAGCGUUCUUCGGAUCUACUGGGCGUAAAGCGCACGUAGGCGGACUUUUAAGUCAGGGGUGUAAUCCCGGGGCUCAACCCCGGAACUGCCUUUGAUACUGGUAGUCUUGAGUAUGGUAGAGGUGAGUCGAAUUCCGAGUGUAGUUGUGAAAUUCAUAGAUAUUCGGAGGAACACCAGUGGCGAAGGCGGCUCACUGAACCAUUACUGACGCUAAAGCGCGAAAGCGUGGGGAGCAAACAGG